CUGAGACAGAGAGAGAGGAAGCACAUGAUUCUGACCCCACACUAUGUGAAGACCUGUGUCUGCAUUUCGUACCACUGUCUCCGAGCUGUGUGUUUCUUUCUGUGUGUGUGGAUGCCUAUGUGUAUGUAGGUCUGUGUGUGUGUGUGUGUAUGUGUGUCUCCUAUCUCCACAGUGAGCUAUUGAGGACUGAAAGGCGUCUCUCUCUCACUCUGUCUGAGAUGACGUGGCAGCAUUCCAGAUAGUGGUACCGAGCAGUAGACAGAUGGAGUAGUGUCUGUGAUUAACCUUUCCAAGACUCUACCCAUGGACAGACAGAGACGAGACUCAGAGAAUUUGGCAGUCCAUCCAACCGGCCUCACAACCGCAUACCACGUGUAACCACGCCAUCUCAUGACCUCCACAUCUCCACAGCUUCUUCACCUGCGGGAUCAUAUGAGCGUGGGGAGGGAGGUGCUCAGGAUUAUUUCUGUCUGUAAUGAAGCCCUUUUGUGGGGGAAAACUAAUUCAGAUUGGCUGGGCCUGGCUCCCCAGUGGGAUGACCUGUUUCUUAAGUGGGUGGGCCCAUGGCUGGGCCCAUGCCCAGCCGUGGAAUCCAUAGAUUAGGGCCUUAUUUAUUUAUUUAAAUUGACUGAUUUCCUUCUAUGAACUGUAACUCAGUAAAAUCUUUGAAAUUGUUCCAUGUUGCAUUAAUAUUUUUGUUCAGUUUACAAAUCACUGAUGCAUUCUUUAAAGGUCCAAUGCAGCCAUUUUAUCUCAAUAUCAAAUAAUUGCUAUUUAACAUUUAAGUACCUUACUGUGAUUGCUUUCAAUUACAAUACUAAAAAAGAAACUAAAAUAGCUUCUUAGCAAAGAGCAAUUUCUCAAGCAAGAAUUUUGCUAGACUGUCUGGGAGGGGUCUGGCGAACCGGACACCCCUAUAGCCUCCGCAAGGCGUGGGGCCCAUGAGCUCUGGGGGCCAAUGCUCCAUUCAUCAUUGUCUAUUUUUAAAUAUAAAUAAUUUUAACAGUAACCCUCCAAAAAGUGUUUCAUAAACUUUUUUAAAUUUCCAUAUGUACUAGGAAGCUAAGUGUUUGCUUCUUGGCUUGAUCAAAGUGCCUCAGACCUUGAAAAAUAAAUGAUUGAAAAUAAAGGGAUAUUGUAG